rnacentral:rRNA from 1 species
GAUGAACGCUGGCGGCGUGCCUAAUACAUGCAAGUCGAGCGAACAGACCAGGAGCUUGCUCCUUUCACGUUAGCGGCGCACGGGUGUGUAACACGUGUAUCCCCUACCUAUCUGAUUGGUAUAACCUGGAGAAAGCGGAUCUAAUACCGUAUAAUCUCUUGAACCACAUGGUUCAAUAGAGAAAUUCGGCUUUUCGGUCACUACUCGAGGCAUCCGCGCUGCAUUAGGUAGUUGGUAAGGUAACGGCUUACCAAGGAAAGCAUGCGUAGCCGACCUGAGAGGGUGAGCGGCCACACUGGAACUGAGACACGGUCCAGACUCCUACGGGAGGCAGCAGUAGGGAAUCUUCCGCAAAGGGCGAAAGCCUGACGGAGCAACGCCGCGUGAGUGAUGAAGGUCUUCGGAUCGUAAAACUCUGUUAUUAGGGAAGAACAAAUGUGUAAGUAACUAUGCACGUCUUGACGGUACCUAAUCAGAAAGCCACGGCUAACUACGUG